rnacentral:rRNA from 1 species
UACGGAGGAUGCAAGCGUUAUCCGGAAUCAUUGGGCGUAAGGCGUCCGCAGGUGGCAGUUCAAGUCUGCUGUCAAAGACUGGGGCUUAACCCUAGAAAGGCAGUGGAAACUGAACAGCUAGAGUGCGGUAGGGGUAGAGGGAAUUCCCGGUGUAGCGGUGAAAUGCGUAGAGAUCGGGAAGAACACCAGUGGCGAAAGCGCUCUGCUGGACCUGCACUGACACUGAGGGACGAAAGCUAGGGGAGCGAAUGGG